rnacentral:rRNA from 1 species
UACAGAGGUCCCAAGCGUUGUUCGGAUUCAUUGGGCGUAAAGGGUGCGUAGGCGGGUUUUUAAGUCAGGGGGGAAAUCCUGGAGCUCAACUCCAGAACUGCCUUUGAUACUGAAGAUCUUGAGUUCGGGAGAGGUGAGUGGAACUGCGAGUGUAGAGGUGAAAUUCGUAGAUAUUCGCAAGAACACCAGUGGCGAAGGCGGCUCACUGGCCCGAUACUGACGCUGAGGCACGAAAGCGUGGGGAGCAAACAGG